AUUGAACGCUGGCGGCAGGCCUAACACAUGCAAGUCGAGCGGGGUUUUCGGACCUAGCGGCGGACGGGUGAGUAAUGCGUAGGAAGCUACCCGACAGAGGGGGAUACCAGUUGGAAACGACUGUUAAUACCGCAUAAUGUCUACGGACCAAAGUGUGGGACCUUCGGGCCACAUGCUAUCGGAUGCGCCUACGUGGGAUUAGCUAGUUGGUGAGGUAAUGGCUCACCAAGGCGACGAUCUCUAGCUGGUUUGAGAGGAUGAUCAGCCACACUGGAACUGAGACACGGUCCAGACUCCUACGGGAGGCAGCAGUGGGGAAUAUUGGACAAUGGGCGGCAAGCCUGAUCCAGCCAUGCCGCGUGUGUGAAGAAGGCCUCGGUUGUAAG
rnacentral:rRNA from 1 species